UCAGCCUGCCGCGUGCAGUGAUAGAAGGCCUUCGGGUUGUAAAGCUCUUUCGGCGGGGAAGAAAUGGCAACGGCUAAUAUCCGUUGUUGAUGACGGUACCCGCAUAAGAAGCACCGGCUAACUACGUGCCAGCAGCCGCGGUAAUACGUAGGGUGCGAGCGUUAAUCGGAAUUACUGGGCGUAAAGCGUGCGCAGGCGGUUUCGUAAGACAGACGUGAAAUCCCCGGGCUCAACCUGGGAACUGCGUUUGUGACUGCGAGGCUAGAGUACGGCAGAGGGGGGUAGAAUUCCACGUGUAGCAGUGAAAUGCGUAGAGAUGUGGAGGAAUACCGAUGGCGAAGGCAGCCCCCUGGGUUAGUACUGACGCUCAUGCACGAAAGCGUGGGGAGCAAACAGGAUUAGAUACCCUGGUAGUCCACGCCCUAAACGAUGUCAACUAGGUGUUGGAAGGGUUAAACCUUUUAAUACCGC
rnacentral:rRNA from 1 species